rnacentral:rRNA from 1 species
UACGAGGGGGGCAAGCGUUGUUCGGAAUUAUUGGGCGUAAAGGGCGCGUAGGCGGUGCGGUAAGUCACCUGUGAAAACUCUGGGCUCAACUCAGAGCCUGCAGGCGAAACUGCCGUGCUUGAGUGUGGGAGAGGUGCGUGGAAUUCCCGGUGUAGCGGUGAAAUGCGCAGAUAUCAGGAGGAACACCGGCGGCGAAGGCGGGUCUCUGGGCCAUAACUGACGCUGAGGAGCGAAAGCGUGGGGAGCGAACAGG